AUUUGUGGCCAUACUGGCUUGUCAAAAGCAGAUCUCAUCAGAUCUCAGAAGUGAGGCCGGGCCUGGUUAGUACUUUGAUGGGAAACCGCUGGGAAUACAAGUUGGCGCAGUGG
rnacentral:rRNA from 1 species